UGAUUCCUGUACAUUUUAUAGGUCGUGACUUCACCAGUCAUAACAAUCUUGAUGUAACAACACAAGUGGAUCUGCUGAUCAAACAAGCCACCUCACAUGAGAAUCUUUGCCAGUGCUACAUUGGAUGGUGUCCAUUCUGGUAAUGAGACCUUCCGUUAUUGAAAGGCACUUCAUGAAGAGGAUUUUGCCCUCGAUACGCUGUGAAACUCGGCAAGGUUUAACUGGAGGACGUGAGGACCUUUUCACGAGAAACCCUUGCAAGGCUGACAUUGCGAGAAUUUAAACUGAGAAUUGCUUAUUUGCCAGCGCGCUCAAUGACUCUGGUCUUCCAGAGUUAUGUCGCAAAUCGAGAUCUGUUUCUUUUUUGAUUCAAAGGUCGAGCUAAACUUGUGCUUAGCCAAUGUAUCAGAAGGGGUAUAUGUGGGUAUUACAGCGAUCUGAGGGUUUCGCUUAGGAUAGUGAACUGAAGGUCUAAGUGUGGCAAAAACAGAAAAUGGAUUUCAACAUUCAACAGUUGAAUCAACUGUCGUCAUCAAAGUUGAUCAUAUGUAAAUUUGAUAAUAUAUAUGUAUAAAAAAUCAAUAAACGUAUGUAAAAGUAGUAA